rnacentral:rRNA from 1 species
GACGAACGCUGGCGGCGUGCUUAACACAUGCAAGUCGAACGGAAAGUCCCUGCUUUGGUGGGGUGCUCGAGUGGCGAACGGGUGAGUAACACGUGAGUAACCUGCCCUUGACUUUGGGAUGACUUAAGGCAACUGGGGCUAAUACCAGAUAGGAGCUCCUGCUGCAUGGUGGGGGUUGGAAAGUUUCGGCGGUUGGUGAUGGACACGCGGCUUAUCAGCUUGUUGGUGGGGUAGUGUCUUACCAAGGCUAUGACGGGUAGCCGGCCUGAGAGGGUGACCGGCCACGUUGGGACUGAGAUACGGCCCAGACUCCUACGGGAGGCAGCAGUGGGGAAUAGUGCACAAUGGGCGGAAGCCUGAUGCAGCAACGCCGCGUGCGGGAUGACGGCCUUCGGGUUGUAAACCGCUUUCGCCUGUGACGAAGCGUGAGUGACGGUAAUGGGUAAAUAAGCACCGGCUAACUACGUG